CAGUCGCCGCGGUAAUACGAAGGGUGCAAGCGUUAAUCGGAAUUACUGGGCGUAAAGGGCGCGUAGGCGGACAGUUAAGUCGGGGGUGAAAGCCCGGGGCUCAAUCUCGGAAUUGCCUUCGAAACUGGCUGUCUUGAGUACGGGAGAGGUGAGUGGAACUCCGAGUGUAGAGGUGAAAUUCGUAGAUAUUCGGAAGAACACCAGUGGCGAAGGCGACUCACUGGCCCGUUACUGACGCUGAGGCGCGAAAGCGUGGGGAGCAAACAGGAUUAGAUACCCGCGUAGUCCCUGUCUCUUAUAC
rnacentral:rRNA from 1 species